rnacentral:sRNA from 1 species
AUGAUAAGCGCGAUAGUCCGGUAUUUAGGAGAUCAACAUGGUAUAAACGUUGACUGGUGUACUGUUAAAAAGGUUAUACUAAAGUACAAAUCAGGAGAUCUUUUUGCUGAAUCAAUGUCAACCGACAGCUUUAUCAAAUUUAGAAAAGUUUCUGAUUCCGAUAUUUUAACAGUCAAAACCGCUCUUUCUGAAAAUUGUACCAUGACUGCAACAGACAUUCAGCGCCAACUCCAAGAAACCGGGACUUCCUUAUCAAAGACCACAGUACAUAGAGCAAUCAAGGAAGCUGGCUAUACUGCAAGUGCACCUCGUUAUUGUCAAAUGAUCCGCGAAGUCAACAAAGUCAAACGCGUAGAUUUCUGUAAACAGCUUGUGUUAGAUAAUGACAAUUUUAAUGACAUUGUAUUCACCGACGAAUGCACAGUGCAACUUCAUGAUAACAAAGUUGUUGUUUAUCGUUUAAGAAAUGAAUCUGCUACACCAAUUCCACAACCGAAGCAUCCAUUAAAAGUGCAUGUAUGGGGAGGUAUUAGUCGUAGGGGAACCACACGUCUUCUGAUUUUCGACGGGAUUCUUAAGUCCGAUUUAUUUAGAAAAGACUCUUCUGCCUUUUAUCAAAUCUGUUUAUCCAGAUGGUCACCGUUUUCAACAAGACAACGACCCAAAACAUCGCUCCAAGCUUGCCAAAAGUUUCAUGAUCGACAAUGGCAUUCAGUGGUGGGACUGCUGGCCCUCCGAAUCUCCCGAUAUCAACCCAAUUGA